GUGGAUUAGAUACCCUAGUAGUCCACGCAGUAAACGAUGAUUACUAGCUGUUUGCGAUACACAGUAAGCGGCACAGCGAAAGCGUUAAGUAAUCCACCUGGGGAGUACGCCGGCAACGGUGAAACUCAAAGGAAUUGACGGGGGCCCGCACAAGCGGAGGAACAUGUGGUUUAAUUCGAUGAUACGCGAGGAACCUUACCCGGGUUUGAACGUAGGGAGACAGGGGUGGAAACAUCCUUUUCAGCAAUGACUGCCUACGAGGUGCUGCACGGCCGUCGACAGCU
rnacentral:rRNA from 1 species